ACUCCUACGGGAGGCAGCAGUGGGGAAUAUUGCACAAUGGGCGCAAGCCUGAUGCAGCCAUGCCGCGUGUGUGAAGAAGGCCUUCGGGUUGUAAAUGCACUUCAGUUGUGAGGAAAGGUUAGUCGCUAAUAUCGGCUAGCUGUGACGUUAGCAACAGAAGAAGCACCGGCUAACUCCGUGCCAGCAGCCGCGGUAAUACGGAGGGUGCGAGCGUUAAUCGGAAUUACU
rnacentral:rRNA from 1 species